rnacentral:rRNA from 1 species
UGCAGUCGAGCGGAAGGCCCUUCGGGGUACUCGAGCGGCGAACGGGUGAGUAACACGUGAGCAACCUGCCCCAAGCUUUGGGAUAACCCUCGGAAACGGGGGCUAAUACCGAAUAGGACUUCUGGCCGCAUGGCUGGUGGUGGAAAGUUUUUCGGCUUGGGAUGGGCUCGCGGCCUAUCAGCUUGUUGGUGGGGUGAUGGCCUACCAAGGCGACGACGGGUAGCCGGCCUGAGAGGGCGACCGGCCACACUGGGACUGAGACACGGCCCAGACUCCUACGGGAGGCAGCAGUGGGGAAUAUUGCACAAUGGGCGGAAGCCUGAUGCAGCGACGCCGCGUGAGGGAUGACGGCCUUCGGGUUGUAAACCUCUUUCAGCAGGGACGAAGCGAGAGUGACGGUACCUGCAGAAGAAGCACCGGCCAACUACGUGCCAGCAGCCGCGGUAAGACGUAGGGUGCGAGCGUUGUCCGGAUUUAUUGGGCGUAAAGAGCUCGUAGGCGGCUUGUCGCGUCGACCGUGAAAACUUGGGGCUCAACCCCAAGCCUGCGGUCGAUACGGGCAGGCUAGAGUUCGGUAGGGGAGACUGGAAUUCCUGGUGUAGCGGUGAAAUGCGCAGAUAUCAGGAGGAACACCGGUGGCGAAGGCGGGUCUCUGGGCCGAUACUGACGCUGAGGAGCGAAAGCGUGGGGAGCGAACAGGAUUAGAUACCCUGGUAGUCCACGCUG